rnacentral:rRNA from 1 species
CCGCACAAGCGGAGGAACAUGUGGUUUAAUUCGAUGAUACGCGAGGAACCUUUACCUGGGCUUAAAUGUAGAGUGCAUUUUUUUAGAGAUAGAAAUUCCCUUCGGGGCUUUCUGCAAGGUGCUGCAUGGUUGUCGUCAGCUCGUGCCGUGAGGUGUCGGGUUAAGUCCCAUAACGAGCGCAACCCUUAUCGUUAGUUGCCAUCUGGUAAUGCAGGGGACUCUAGCGAAACUGCCACCGUAAGGUGAGAGGAAGGUGGGAUGACGUCAAAUCAGCACGGCCCUUAUGUCCAGGGCUACACACGUGUUACAAUGGUCGGUACAGAGGGCAGCUACCUGGUGACAGGAUGCUAAUCUCGAAAACCGGUCUCAGUUCGGAUCGAAGUCUGCAACUCGACUUCGUGAAGCUGGAUUCGCUAGUAAUCGCGCAUCAGCUAUGGCGCGGUGAAUACGUUCCCGGGCCUU